rnacentral:lncRNA from 1 species
CAGAAACAUGUAUUGUUCACGUGCAUGGCAUGAGUGUGAGGUGAAAAAGCAUUUUUGCACAAACACCUUCUAACUUGCUAAUCACCUUUGGCUUUGGUUUAAACAUGAUUAAAACCUCAUUAGCAUAACAUAUAUAUACUUAACCCUAACUGUUUUUGAUCAUUAGCACAUUUUCAGAUCUAGAAUCACAAAAUUCUCAAAAAAUUUCUCUCAAACUUUUUUCCAAAUUUCUUCAAACAAAAGCACUUUCUAUUGGUUGAUUCAUGUUUAUG